GAUGAACGCUGGCGGCGUGCCUAAUACAUGCAAGUCGAGCGAACAGAUGAGGAGCUUGCUCCUCUGACGUUAGCGGCAGACGGGUGAGUAACACGUGUAUAACCUACCUAUAAGACUGGGAUAACUUCGGGAAACCGGAGCUAAUACCGGAUAAUAUAUUGAACCGCAUGGUUCAAUAGUGAAAUACGGUUUUUCUGUCACUUAUAGAUGGAUCCGCGCCGCAUUAGCUAGUUGGUAAGCUAACGGCUUACCAAGGCAACGAUGCGUAGCCGAACUGAGAGGGUGAUAGGCGACCCUGGAACUGAGACAGGGUCAAGACUCCUACGGGAGGCAGCAGUAGGGAAUCUUACGCAAUGGGGGAAAGCAUGACGGAGCAACGCCGCGUGAGUGAUGAAGGUCUUCGGAUCGUAAAACUCUGUUAUUAGGGAAGAACAAAUGUGUAAGUAACUAUGCACGUAUUGACGGUACCUAAUCAGAAAGCAACGGCUAACUACGUG
rnacentral:rRNA from 1 species